UAAUGCGAGAGGAAGAGAUGCGGAGGGGUGGAAAAUGGCAGAACUGCAGAUGUUACUAGAGGAGGAGAUCCCGUCUGGCAAGAGGGCGCUGAUUGAGAGUUACCAGAACCUGACCUGGGUGGCGGACUACUGUGAAAACAACUAUAUACAGGCUACAGAUAAGAGAAAAGCUCUAGAAGAGACCAAAGCAUAUACAACUCAAUCUCUAGCUAGUGUUGCUUAUCAAAUAAAUGCAUUGGCCAACAAUGUGCUCCAGCUGCUGGAUAUCCAAGCAUCUCAGCUGCGGAGGAUGGAGUCAUCCAUCAAUCACAUCUCACAGACUGUGGAUAUUCAUAAAGAAAAAGUGGCUCGAAGAGAGAUUGGUAUUUUGACAACAAAUAAGAAUACAUCAAGAACUCACAAAAUAAUCGCACCCGCAAAUAUGGAGCGUCCUGUCAGGUAUAUUCGGAAACCUAUCGACUAUACAGUUCUGGAUGAUGUGGGCCAUGGACUUAAGCACGGAAAUAACCAGCCUGCAAGAACUGGCACAUUGUCGAGAACAAAUCCUCCCACGCAGAAACCACCAAGCCCUCCCGUGUCAGGCCGAGGAACUUUGGGACGGAACACCCCUUACAAAACCCUAGAGCCUGUUAAGCCGCCAACAGUUCCCAAUGACUACAUGACUAGUCCUGUGAGGCUUGGAAGCCAGCAUAGUCCAGGCAGGACAGCUUCUUUAAAUCAGAGACCAAGGACGCAUAGUGGAAGUAGUGGAGGAAGCGGAAGCCGAGAGAACAGUGGGAGCAGCAGCAUUGGCAUUCCUAUUGCUGUGCCUAUGCCCUCACCGCCCACUGCGGGCCCAGUUGCUGAUAGCCCAACUCCACCACCACCCCCUCCACCAGAUGACAUUCCCAUGUUUGAUGACUCUCCGCCUCCUCCGCCACCUCCUCCUGUGGACUAUGAAGAUGAGGAAGCUGCAGUAGUUCAGUAUAGUGACCCAUAUGCAGAUGGGGACCCUGCAUGGGCUCCCAAGAACUAUAUUGAGAAAGUUGUUGCAAUAUAUGAUUAUACAAAAGACAAAGAUGAUGAGCUGUCCUUUAAAGAGGGUGCAAACAUCUAUGUUAUAAAGAAGAAUGAUGAUGGCUGGUUUGAAGGAGUUUGCAAUCGAGUGACUGGACUCUUCCCUGGGAACUAUGUUGAAUCAAUCAUGCACUAUAAUGAUUAGUUUUUCUUCUUUUCAUGUAGGUUAUUACUCCGUCAUACUGUGGGACUAUAUGGUUAACAGAAUUGUUUUAAUGUUUAAAAUGUGCCCAUGUUUUCAAGGACAUGUUUUAUUGGUAUAUUUGGAUGUCUACCUGUAAGCAUAAAUUUUGGAGGCAGUUCAAACAUUGCUGAACAGCAGUUUAUAUGCCUAUAAUUGAUUAUGCAUAUGUACUCACACCUUGCUAAGUUUAUGGCCAGCCUAAAAAUUCUGGAGAUGUGGGUUAUUACAUUUAACAAAUCAUGGUUCAGAAUGCACCAUUACAUGUUUCAGUGCAGCAUGGUCACUAACAUUGUGUCAGACUAAUAGAAAAAAACAGAAAACGUCAAUGCUGGUGCUGUUCAUAAUUUUGGUUUCAAUUCUCAUUUUUAAAAAAAUACUGUGUUUAAAGCAUGCAUAAAUUUUUAUGUAUUGAAAUAUACUUAACAAUUCAAGAUGCUUCCAAUUUGUGUAACGAUUAUCUGGAGUACUCAUACUUGAGUCUCUUAAGCACUCCAUGUGAAAUGAAAGACUAUCUGUAAUGUUGUAAUUUGUA